rnacentral:rRNA from 1 species
AACGAACGCUGGCGGCAUGCCUAACACAUGCAAGUCGAACGAGACCUUCGGGUCUAGUGGCGCACGGGUGCGUAACGCGUGGGAACCUGCCCUUAGGUUCGGAAUAACUCCCCGAAAGGGGUGCUAAUACCGGAUAAUGUCUUCGGACCAAAGAUUUAUCGCCUUUGGAUGGGCCCGCGUUGGAUUAGCUAGUUGGUAGGGUAAAAGCCUACCAAGGCGACGAUCCAUAGCUGGUCUGAGAGGAUGAUCAGCCACACUGGGACUGAGACACGGCCCAGACUCCUACGGGAGGCAGCAGUGGGGAAUAUUGGACAAUGGGCGAAAGCCUGAUCCAGCAAUGCCGCGUGAGUGAUGAAGGCCUUAGGAUUGUAAAGCUCUUUUACCCGGGAUGAUAAUGACAGGACCGGGAGAAUAAGCUCCGGCUAACUCCGU